AAACAUGGAUGCAAUUA
rnacentral:miRNA from 1 species